ensembl:lncRNA
CUUGGAGAGAGCAAGCCAAGAAGCCCUACCAAAAGGUCAAGAAAGGUGGAGGGGUUGAGGAAGGAGGAGAGGACAAGGUGACCUCCUCAGCCAAACAGAGAGAGGGUGUCUCGGUGCUGCUUGGAGCACAUGAGGAGAGCUGUUGAUAAUAUAAAGUUUGUAGUCUGUCUGGAGAGUUAACUGUCUGUGGGUUUCUUCUCUGCUCCACCAAUCAAUCCACUACGCUUACAUUAGGUUACAUUCUUCUUCCUGGUUCAGGUUCUCGAGAUAUCAGACUGACCGAAUGAAGCGCUCACAACUCAACUAAACUUUGGGAUAGUUUUAGAGAAGGAUAUCAAACCUGCAAGGUAAGAGUUUUAUAAUUAAAAUAAAAUAAUUUGGCAGCAUGCCUUGAAGUAGUCCAAGUGUUGGUUUAUAGGGUCCUGAUUGUUGCACCUAUGGCUUGUUCGAGUGGCUUUAGACUGAGGGAGCACCCAGGUACUGUGCAACACUACUGUAGGUUACCAAGUAUUUCAUCGCCUGCUAUACAGGUACAUACUGCCUGGUUCCAGAUCUGUUUGUGUUGCUCUGUUUGAGUCAUUGUCAGGCCAAACGGAUGCAAACAGAACUGGGACAAGCCAGUCCCCUCAGUGUUGACCAGGAGAGACAGAGAGAGGUCACUAUGCUGGGUGAGAGAGAGAGAGGUCACUAUGCUGGGUGAGAGAGAGAGAGGUCACUAUGGUGGGUAAGAGAGAGAGAGGUCACUAUGCUGGGUGAGAGAGAGAGAGGUCACUAUGCUGGGUAAGAGAGAGAGAGGUCACUAUGCUGGGUAAGACAGAGAGAGGUCACAAUGGUGGGUAAGAGAGAGAGAGGUCACUAUGCUGGGUGAGAGAGAGAGAGGUCACUAUGCUGGGCAAGAGAGAGAGAGGUCACUAUGGUGGGUAAGAGAGAGAGAGGUCACUAUGGUGGGUAAGAGAGAGAGAGAGGUCACUAUGGUAGGUGAGAGAGAGAGAGAGAGAGAGAGAGAGAGAGAGAUCACUAUGGUGGGUAAGAGAGAGAGAGAGAGGUCACUAUGGUGGGUAAGAGAGAGAGAGAGAGGUCACUAUGGUGGGUAAGAGAGAGAGAGAGAGAGAGAGAGAGAGAGAGAGAGAGAGAGCUCACUAUGGUGGGUAAGAGAGAGAGAGAGGUCACUAUGGUGGGUAAGAGAGAGAGAGAGAGGUCACUAUGGUGGGUGAGAGAGAGAGAGAGAGGUCACUAUGGUGGGUAAGAGAGAGAGAGAGAGGUCACUAUGGUGGGUAAGAGAGAGAGAGAGGUCACUAUGGUGGGUAAGAGAGAGAGAGAGAGGUCACUAUGGUGGGUAAGAGAGAGAGAGGGAGAGAGAGAGGUUACUAUGGUGGGUAAGAGAGAGAGAGAGAGGUCACUAUGGUGGGUAAGAGAGAGAGAGAGGUCACUAUGGUGGGUAAGAGAGAGAGAGAGAUGUCACUAUGGUGGGUAAGAGAGAGAGAGAGAGGUCACUAUGGUGGGUAAGAGAGAGAGAGAGGUCACUAUGGUGGGUAAGAGAGAGAGAGAGAUCACUAUGGUGGGUAAGAGAGAGAGAGAGGUCACUAUGGUGGGUAAGAGAGAGAGAGAGAGGUCACUAUGGUGGGUAAGAGAGAGUCUGAAAUAAGUCAGAUGCUCUGAAAAGCAGAAACAGCCCAGCUGGGAUUAAAAGUUUAAAGGCAUUAAACCUGGUCAGAACUGGGUCAGAGCCAGGUCAGAGCCAGGUCAGAAAAGAAAACAACACAUGGAAGAAAGGGAGGGUACCGAGUUUAAGG